UUCAGGUCCCUCCCCAGAAGCGUCCCUUGGCCCGGCCAGUGCCUGGAGCCGCGGGCAGACGCCGUGGCCGGAGUCAGCCCCGCACACGCGGGGGCGUUUCCGGGGAAACCCAGCGAAGACGUGUCUCCUCUUCCCAGCCGGCCUUUGGUGCCCCCUCCUCUCCCCGCCCGGCCCCGGCCCCGGCCCCGGCCCCGGCCCCGGCCCCUCCUCGCCCGGCUUUGGUUCUCGUCUCCCAAGGGCUGAAGAGCUUUUGCCUGACCCCGGUUGCUGGGCUCCACACGGGGGUGGCCGGGUGAGACGGCCCCGCCCGCAGCACGCCGGAGCUCAGACGGGGUGCUCGAAUGGCCCCUAUGGGCCCGACACGCUGUGAAACUCUUUGGCCCAGGUUGGUGGGGACCCAGUCACGCCCCAUCCUGCCGACAGGCGCUGAGCUGGCGGCAUCAGUCCAGUUCCCGGUAGGAGGGAGUGUGAGCUGGUCAGGGCCGGGGACUGGGAGUCCGAGCUGGUUUCUAGUCCUGAUUCUGUGACCUCGGGCAAGGCGCUUUGGGAGCUGUGCCUUGGUUUCCCCAGCUGUACGCUGGGGUUCGUGAUGCUUGGUCACCUUUGUGAUGCGCUUUGAGAUCCGCAAAAGGACGUGUUUGAGGCACUUUCCAGGGGCAGAAUGAGGGAAGCACUGCAUCUGUAGCUGCUCUGAGUGCAAGCAGAGAACUUCAGUGUGCCGGGCUACCAGCAUGGAACCCCCUCCUCUCAGGAGUCUGUGGACCGGCUCUCCCCACCCCUAACGCACAGUGGCCAAACGGAGGUCCCACCCUCACUUAUUCCACACUUGCUCAUCUGCAAGGCCUUGCCCUGUCCACAGCCAAGUCCCUCAUAAAGACACAGAGGUAGCUCCUCAGCUGGUGUAAAUCAGCAAAACUCCACUGACUGCCAAGCUACCUCCACCUAGUCUGACCCCAGCCUCCGCCUGCGCUGGCUUGUGGAUACAUUGCCUGGUUGGUGGUCCCCUUCCCCGGACUUCUGGCUCCAUUAUUCUAUGAUUCCGUGAUCCGUGGGUUGGGAGCUCUCAGGCAUGGCCCGCCUGUCCUGGAACGUCGGGAAAGCACCGAGCUCAUUGUGGGCGCUCCCGUAAAUAGUACGUCUUGGGAAGGAGGACGCGUGGCUUAGCUGCUGGGAGGGGGAGGCCCAGCCAACAAGCAUGGUUAAUUCUCCCCAACCUAGAAGUCUUCCCUCUCCAGCUUCUCACAUCUCUUCCCUCAUCCCGUUCACAGCCAGACCAGAACCAGCGGUGGCCUCCAGUUUCUGAGCUGGAUGCUGCUGGGCCAUGGGACUGGUACCAAAUGAGAAGGUGGCUGUAAAGGGGAGAAAUAUCCUGUACCUCUGCUCUCAGCUUUCCUGUCUUUGUGGCCUUAUCACCGCUCCAGCCAUACUACCUGAAACAGUGUGUGUCCUUGGACAGCAGGCUCUCGGGAGACUAUUAAGCAGAGUGUCCUUUAUGCCCAUGCAUGGCUUGGGUUACAUACGGCUAGGCUGAGCAGCCAUAAUCCAUUAGCGCUCAUGAUAAUUGCUCACAGCGGCACCCUGACUUGUGGAAAGCAAGGGCCGAACAUCCAGAGAGAAUGAGCCUCUGGCGGCAAGAGGAGGCUGCAGAGGGAUGGAAUGGAAUCAGAGAUGAGCGAGUCAAACCAUGGAGACAAUCAGGGCGAGGAAGAUAGCGUUCUCGACUGCUGCAGGAGUGUUGUUGUGUCCUGCUACUUCCUGCUGUCCCCCCCACACUCCCGCACUCAGCAGCCAGAGCAUGGCUUGCAUGUCUGUCAUUCUCCCUCUGCCCGCUCUCUUUUGCCCCACAGCAGCUAGCAGGGAGGGGUUCAAUUCCCUGCUCUGCCACUGAUGUGGGGGCCUGCUAAUGGCCUACGGCAGGUCGGAGAGGAUGGUGGGUGGGCCGGGGGGUUGUUGGUUGGUCGCUCAUGGGGGGCUGGAAAGAGCUCUGCCUGGCAAGCAGAGUAAGGUAUCAGCCCAUCUUAUGGGGAGGGGUCUGGCUCUUUUCAAUCCAUGGCCUACGAGCAGGGGCUGUGCUGCUAGGGAUUGGGCUUGCAUGGCUAGAUGGAUGAGCACUUUCCCUCCAAGGGGCCUGAGAACAGCUGCUGGUUGCACAGAGUUGCUGCUGGAGUGGGCUCAGCCCUGCUGGUAAUGGCUGGGGUGGCCGGAGAAGAAGACAGAGCUGCGGGGAUCGCUGCGGGGGCAGAGAGCGGUGGGGCUGGAGGGGAAUAGGAAGCCUUGUAUGAGGUUAGAUGUAGCUUCUCUUUGGGAGGGGGACAGGAGGAAGAACCCAGCUGUCUUUUGAACGCUGCAGUUCAAACGCCACCAGUGCACCUUAUUCAGCAGGUCCUGCUGUGGCCCGUCUGUGUUCCCAACUCUCCGGGCAGUGGGACAUACAAAUGCUGCUGCCCUCCAGGGUGUAAUGCAGGGGCCUGUCUGCCUCCCUCUUUCCACACAGGCAGGUCCUCAGAGUCCUGUCUCCAUUUCCAAUGCAGCCCCAGCUAAGGGCAUGAAUAAAUUCACAGCCAUCGGUUCCUCCUCUGCAGAGCAGGGUGGGGGGUCAGCGCUAGGCACAGCAAACAGUGACUCAGGACUGAGACACCUGCUUGGAGAUCAGCGGAUGGCCUGGAACAGGUGGCCACUGGGCUGUAAAUGAGCCUGUAGCUCCAGGUGCAGAGAGGCGUGACUGCUGUGCAUGUGUUUAGAGCCGUCCCUUGGGUACGGCGAAUUGGGGCAACCGCCCUGGGCCCCGCACUUUGGGGGACCCCAAGCUUCCAUAAAAUCAUGAGGAGGCAAACAAGGAGUUCUUACCAGACAAGGUGGAGGAGAGACAGAAUAGAAAAGAUGGGUGAAAUGUGGCUUUUGUUGAAGUUUUUGGAACACUGAACUGCUGGUUAGUUACAAGUGGAUGCUUUGGCUGGCAAGUGGACCAAGACAUCUGAUGCUUGGACCCUGGUUAGUUACGAUCUGUUCAGGGCUGUCAUCUGGUUGGAGCAUUUCUCCUUACACAAGGCAGGUUUGGAUGGAUGCAAUAUAAUUGACUUCAUGAUUUGAUGAAAAGUCAAGAGAAAGAGAACUUAUACUACGUUACAGCAUCCGGGAACCCCCAGCACUGAGACACGCCUGCAUCCCCUCUGCAAGAUCACAGCACCUGGGAACCCCCAGCACUGAAACAUCCCUACAUCCCCUCUGCUAGAUCACAGCACCUGGGACUUUGCCACUGACUCACCUCAAACUAAUGUCCACUGAUUUUGGGCAUCCACCUUGAGACACCUUGAUCUGAUCAUCAGAGAACCCUAGGGUUAGAGGUAGGGUGACUAUACAUCUCAUUUUGGCUGGGACAGUCCGUUUUUUAAGCCCUGUCCUGGCUAUCCUGCCUUUUUUGGCAAAAGUGGGCAUUUGUCCCAUUUACUCUUGCCAAAUUGAUCAGGAAGUUUUUUUGCUGUGGCUCUGGUCUACUUCAGCUGGAGUUGUGGGUGCUCAGCUCCUCUGAAAAUCACGA